AUUGAACGCUGGCGGCAGGCCUAACACAUGCAAGUCGAACGAGUGGCGGACGGGUGAGUAAUGUCUGGGAAACUGCCUGAUGGAGGGGGAUAACUACUGGAAACGGUAGCUAAUACCGCAUACCAUCGGAUGUGCCCAGUUGGGAUUAGCUUGUUGGUGGGGUAACGGCUCACCAAGGCGACGAUCCCUAGCUGGUCUGAGAGGAUGACCAGCCACACUGGAACGGAGACACGGCCCAGACUCCUACGGGAGGCAGCAGUGGGGAAUAUUGCACAAUGGGCGCAAGCCUGAUGCAGCCAUGCCGCGUGUAUGAAGAAGGCCUUCGGGUUGUAAAGUACUUUCGGCGGGGAGGCGUUACCCGCAGAAGAAGCACCGGCUAACUCCGUGCCAGCCGCCGCGGUAAUUC
rnacentral:rRNA from 1 species